GUUAUUUAUUUAUAUUUCUUUGUACCUUUUGUGAAUUAUACAGGUAUACAUGUGUAUACAAUAAAGCUCAUAAACAAAUAUAGCCAUUUUGUCUUUAUUGUUAUGUGACUUCUUUCUUUGUUAUACAGAGUAUUAAUGAAAAGGGAUUAAGUGAUGAAGGGAAACAUAUUUGUGUAGUAAAAGUUGGAGAAGUAAUCAGGUAUUAUCACAUUUUCUUUCUUUUGGUAAUCAGUGUGAGCUGCAUCCACGCCUAGGUUUUUGUAGCUAGAGGGAAAAAAGACAAAUUAGUAUUAAGAGAGAUUAUAGGAUUUCCUAUACAUAGGAAUAAUUAAAAGUAAUUACAUUCAGAGCUGUCCAAUUUCAG